GGAGCGAACGCUAGCGGCGGGCCUAACACAUGCAAGUCGAGCGCAUACCUUCGGGUAUGAGCGGCGGACGGGUGAGUAACACGUAGGUAAUCUGCCCUGUGGUGGGGGAUAACCCGGGGAAACCCGGGCUAAUACCGCAUAUGGCCUUCGGGUCAAAGCCUUCGGGCGCCAGAGGAUGAGCCUGCGUCGCAUUACCUAGUUGGUGGGGUAAAAAGCCUACCAAGGGGACGAUGCGUAGCUGGUCUGAGAGGAUGAUCAGCCACACUGGGACUGAGACACGGCCCAGACUCCUACGGGAGGCAGCAGUGGGGAGUAUUGCGCAAUGGGCGAAAGCCUGACGCAGCUACGCCGCGUGGGUGAUGAAGGCCUUCGGGUGUAAAGCCCUGUCGGGAGGACGAAGUUCUGACGGUACCUCCCAAGAAAGCACGGCUAACUCCGUGUCAGCAGCCGC
rnacentral:rRNA from 1 species